GGCACACUCAGCUCAUUCCUGGGGCUGGGAAAAUGCCUCUUUUCCUCGUUUGCCCCUCCUUUUUCAGUCCCUGACUGCAGUGGAGGCAUCAGCAGUGUUCCAACAGCACCAAGCUUCAAGAGAACUGGUGGAGCCAGAUCCAGAGUUAGUUAGAGCUUGCACUGCUCACCCACUGCUGUGCAUGGAUUGGGAAUGCCAUUCCUCUGGAUCCAGGAUAUCCUCACAUUCCUGCUGGGCAGUGCUGGGGCUGGAGUUUCUGA